UCGCCUGUUUAUCAAAAACAUGGUUUCUUGAAUUUAUUUAGGAAAUUUAACCUGCCCACUGAAAAUUUUUGAAGGGCCGCAGUAUCUUGACUGUGCAAAGGUAGCAUAAUCAUUAGUCUUUUAAUUGGAGGCUGGUAUGAAUGGUUGGAUGAGGUAAAUUCUGUUUUAUAUUAAUUGGGAUUGAAUUUAGAUUUUAAGUAAAAAUACUUAAAUGUUAUUAAGGGACGAGAAGACCCUAUAGAGUUUAAUAAGUGUAGUAAAUGAUUGAGUUAUGAAGUAAUUUUUGGUUUUUAUGAAAUUUAUUUAGUUGGGGUGAUUAAAAGAUAAAAUAAACUCUUUUUUAAUUUUAAUAUUAUAGUUAAUUAUUUGAUCCAUAUUUUAUGAUUAUAAGAUUAAAUUACCUUAGGGAUAACAGCAUAAUUUUUUUUGAAAGUUCAUAUUGAAAGAAAAGAUUAUGACCUCGAUGUUGGAUUAAGAUAGGAGUUGGGUGUAGAUGUUCAAUGUACUAGGUCUGUUCGACCUUUAAAAUCUUACAUGAUCUGAGUUCAAACCGGAGA
rnacentral:rRNA from 1 species